GACCAGGUGAUAGAACACCCAUUUGUAUUCUUACCAGUACUCUAUCGAAAACGCCAACCCAGCAUGAGCUACUUUGAGAACCCCUUGCCUUUGCAUCUUCCCAUAUUUCCAGCCAGAAAGCGUCUCCCUAGUAAGAGGGUAGUUAUUUCAACAUGAACAGCAGGACCCAUGGUAAUCCUAUCUUCGAUCCAGGUACCCGAUACUGAAAUCCAAGAGCUUGGCAAAAAUUUCUACAUAUCAUGUUUCCCUUCGUACUUUGGCAACUUCAACGAACAGACGCAUAAGCCAUUGCAAACCGAAAAGCUUUCAAGUCUCCACCAAAGGAUUUUCCUAUUUGCGGUAGCAGGAGCAGUUGCUUACAUGUGCGCAUGUUCCGUCCGAGAAACUAGCCACCUUGAAGGUGCCUUUACUAAAGCUUCGCACCACG
rnacentral:sRNA from 1 species